CGCUGGCGGCACGCCUAACACAUGCAAGUCGAACGAAGUAGCAAUACUUAGUGGCAGACGGGUGAGUAACAUGUGGGUAUCUACCCUUUGGCCUGGAAUAACACGAGGAAACUUGUGCUAAUACUGGAUAAGUCUUUACGGAGAAAGCUUUAUGCACCAUUGGAUGAGCCCGCACUUGAUUAGUUUGUUGGUGGGGUAAUGGCCUACCAAGACUGUGAUCAAUAGCUGAUUUGAGAGGAUGAUCAGCCACAUUGGGACUGAGACACGGCCCAAACUCCUACGGGAGGCAGCAGUGGGGAAUCUUGCACAAUGGAGGAAACUCUGAUGCAGCGAUGCCGCGUGAGUGAAGAAGGCCUUUGGGUUGUAAAGCUCUUUCGUCGGGGAAGAAAAUGACUGUACCCGAAUAAGAAGGUCCGGCUAACUUCGUGCCAGCAGCCGCGGUAAUACGAAGGGACCUAGCGUAGUUCGGAAUUACUGGGCUUAAAGAGUUCGUAGGUGGUUGAAAAAGUUGGUGGUGAAAUCCCAGAGCUUAACUCUGGAACUGCCAUCAAAACUUUUCAGCUAGAGUUUGAUAGAGGAAAGCAGAAUUUCUAGUGUAGAGGUGAAAUUCGUAGAUAUUAGAAAGAAUACCAAUUGCGAAGGCAGCUUUCUGGAUCAUUACUGACACUGAGGAACGAAAGCAUGGGUAGCGAAGAGGAUUAGAUACCCUCGUAGUCCAUGCCGUAAACGAUGUGUGUUAGACGUUGGAAAUUUAUUUUCAGUGUCGCAGCGAAAGCGAUAAACACACCGCC
rnacentral:rRNA from 1 species